rnacentral:rRNA from 1 species
UGGGGAAUUGUUCACAAUGGGCGCAAGCCUGAUGACGCAACGCCGCGUGGAGGAUGAAGGUCUUCGGAUUGUAAACUCCUGUUGCUCGGGACGAAAAGCUUCGACCUAACACGUCGAAGUCUGACGGUACCGAGUGAGGAAGCCCCGGCUAACUCUGUGCCAGCAGCCGCGGUAAUACGUAGGGACCAAGCGUUGUUCGGAUUUACUGGGCGUAAAGGGCGCGUAGGCGGCAAUUCAAGUCAUCUGUGAAAUCUCCGGGCUUAACUCGGAACGGUCAGAUGAUACUGCUUUGCUAGAGUGCAGAAGGGGCAAUCGGAAUUCUUGGUGUAGCGGUGAAAUGCGUAGAUAUCAAGAGGAACACCUGAGGUGAAGACGGGUUGCUGGGCUGACACUGACGCUGAGGCGCGAAAGCCAGGGGAGCAAACGGGAUUAGAUACCCAAGUAGUCCCUGAGCGGGCUGGCAAGGCGCAU